rnacentral:rRNA from 1 species
GAUGAACGCUGGCGGCGUGCCUAAUACAUGCAAGUCGAGCGAACGGACGAGAAGCUUGCUUCUCUGAUGUUAGCGGCGGACGGGUGAGUAACACGUGGAUAACCUACCUAUAAGACUGGGAUAACUUCGGGAAACCGGAGCUAAUACCGGAUAAUAUUUUGAACCGCAUGGUUCAAAAGUGAAAGACGGUCUUGCUGUCACUUAUAGAUGGACCCGCGCUGCAUUAGCUAGUUGGUAAGGUAACGGCUUACCAAGGCAACGAUGCAUAGCCGACCUGAGAGGGUGAUCGGCCACACUGGAACUGAGACACGGUCCAGACUCCUACGGGAGGCAGCAGUAGGGAAUCUUCCGCAAUGGGCGAAAGCCUGACGGAGCAACGCCGCGUGAGUGAUGAAGGUCUUCGGAUCGUAAAACUCUGUUAUUAGGGAAGAACAUAUGUGUAAGUAACUGUGCACAUCUUGACGGUACCUAAUCAGAAAGCCACGGCUAACUACGUG